GUGCUUGCUUCAGCAGCACAUACAUUAAAAUUGGAACGAUACAGAGAAGAUUAGCCUGGUCCCUGUGCAAAGAUGACCUGCAAAUUUUUGAAGUGUUCUGUAUUUUU
ensembl:snRNA U6 U6 spliceosomal RNA